UCCAAUAGUCUUAAAAAAAACAUUCUCCAAUAAAAAAAGGAGGAAAAAUAAACAUUUUUCAAGAUUAUCAUAAGUAUUUACACAAGCAAUUUAGUGAGGAAAAGACUCACAACACAAGAUGAACACUCAACUCAAAAGUCAAAACAAUGUAAAUUUGGCAAACCUCAUCCAAACAUAACAUGUGAAACCGCACGUACAAAAAAACAUGUCCAUGUGAAAAUCGCUUCUAGUACAAAACAAAACCUUAAAAAUCAAACGUGUGCUUCUGAAAUCUACAGAAAAAUAAAACACUCCAAAGAAACAUGCGGAUUCAUAAUUGACUCCUCCAUUAAAACGCCGUCGUUUCUCUCCACAACAACCUCCUCAUUCUCACACUUACCCGGCGGCGGAAACCUCCGGCCGGCUCUAUCCAUCUGCCGGAGCUCACUCCGACAAGUAUUACUACUACCAACCGUUUUCUGACACGACGGCGACCUCGAUCGCCGGCGGAUACCCUCGCCGGAGUCACGGCGGACCUUAUCGGAAAAUUCCCUCCGGCGAUCUAACC
rnacentral:lncRNA from 1 species